UUGAGUGAGUGGCGAACUGGUGAGUAACACGUGGGAAACCUGCCCAGAAGCGGGGGAUAACACCUGGAAACAGAUGCUAAUACCGCAUAACAACUUGGACCGCAUGGUCCGAGUUUGAAAGAUGGCUUCGGCUAUCACUUUUGGAUGGUCCCGCGGCGUAUUAGCUAGAUGGUGGGGUAACGGCUCACCAUGGCAAUGAUACGUAGCCGACCUGAGAGGGUAAUCGGCCACAUUGGGACUGAGACACGGCCCAAACUCCUACGGGAGGCAGCAGUAGGGAAUCUUCCACAAUGGACGAAAGUCUGAUGGAGCAACGCCGCGUGAGUGAAGAAGGGUUUCGGCUCGUAAAACUCUGUUGUUAAAGAAGAACAUAUCUGAGAGUAACUGUUCAGGUAUUGACGGUAUUUAACCAGAAAGCCACGGCUAACUACGUGCCAGCAGCCGCGGUAAUACGUAGGUGGCAAGCGUUGUCCGGAUUUAUUGGGCGUAAAGCGAGCGCAGGCGGUUUUUUAAGUCUGAUGUGAAAGCCUUCGGCUCAACCGAAGAAGUGCAUCGGAAACUGGGAAACUUGAGUGCAGAAGAGGACAGUGGAACUCCAUGUGUAGCGGUGAAAUGCGUAGAUAUAUGGAAGAACACCAGUGGCGAAGGCGGCUGUCUGGUCUGUAACUGACGCUGAGGCUCGAAAGUAUGGGUAGCAAACAGGAUUAGAUACCCUGGUAGUCCAUACCGUAAACGAUGAAUGCUAAGUGUUGGAGGGUUUCCGCCCUUCAGUGCUGCAGCUAACGCAUUAAGCAUUCCGCCUGGGGAGUACGGCCGCAAGGCUGAAACUCAAAGGAAUUGACGGGGGCCCGCACAAGCGGUGGAGCAUGUGGUUUAAUUCGAAGCUACGCGAAGAACCUUACCAGGUCUUGACAUACUAUGCAAAUCUAAGAGAUUAGACGUUCCCUUCGGGGACAUGGAUACAGGUGGUGCAUGGUUGUCGUCAGCUCGUGUCGUGAGAUGUUGGGUUAAGUCCCGCAACGAGCGCAACCCUUAUUAUCAGUUGCCAGCAUUAAGUUGGGCACUCUGGUGAGACUGCCGGUGACAAACCGGAGGAAGGUGGGGAUGACGUCAAAUCAUCAUGCCCCUUAUGACCUGGGCUACACACGUGCUACAAUGGAUGGUACAACGAGUUGCGAACUCGCGAGAGUAAGCUAAUCUCUUAAAGCCAUUCUCAGUUCGGAUUGUAGGCUGCAACUCGCCUACAUGAAGUCGGAAUCGCUAGUAAUCGCGGAUCAGCAUGCCGCGGUGAAUACGUUCCCGGGCCUUGUACACACCGCCCGUCACACCAUGAGAGUUUGUAACACCCAAAGUCGGUGGGGUAACCUUUUAGGAACCAGC
rnacentral:rRNA from 2 species